rnacentral:rRNA from 1 species
AUUGAACGCUGGCGGCAGGCCUAACACAUGCAAGUCGAGCGGUAGCACAGAAGAGCUUGCUCUUUGGGUGACGAGCGGCGGACGGGUGAGUAAUGUCUGGGAAACUGCCUGAUGGAGGGGGAUAACUACUGGAAACGGUAGCUAAUACCGCAUAACCUCGCAAGAGCAAAGAGGUGGACCUUCGGGCCUCUCGCCAUCAGAUUUGCCCAGAUGGGAUUAGCUAGUAGGUGAGGUAAUGGCUCACCUAGGCGACGAUCCCUAGCUGGUCUGAGAGGAUGACCAGCCACACUGGAACUGAGACACGGUCCAGACUCCUACGGGAGGCAGCAGUGGGGAAUAUUGCACAAUGGGCGCAAGCCUGAUGCAGCCAUGCCGCGUGUGUGAAGAAGGCCUUCGGGUUGUAAAGCACUUUCAGCGGGGAGGAAGGCGGUAAGGUUAAUAACCUUAUCGAUUGACGUUACCCGCAGAAGAAGCACCGGCUAACUCCGUGCCAGCAGCCGCAGUAA